CCUACGGGAGGCAGCAGUGAGGAAUAUUGGUCACUGGCCGGAAGGCUGAACCAGCCAUGCCGCGUGAAGGUCAGUGCCCUAUGGGCGUUAAACUUCUUUUGUUCGGGAUCAAUAAUGGUCACGUGUGGCCAGACGAGAGUACCGUACGAAUAAGCAUAGGCUAACUCCGUGCCAGCAGCCGCGGUAAUACUGUGGAUGCAAGCGUUAUCCGGAUGUAGUGGGUUGAAAGGGUGCGUAGGCUGUGAGGUAAGUCAGCGGUGAAAUGCCCCCGCUCAACGGGGUGAAGUGCCAUUGAUACUGCCUUGCUGGAGUGCGGAUGCCGUGGGAGGAAUGUGUGGUGUAGCGGUGAAAUGCAUAGAUAUCACACAGAACACCGAUUGCGAAGGCAUCUCACGAAUCCGCGAUUGACGCUGAUGCACGAAAGCGUGGGUAUCAAACAGGAUUAGAUACCCCGGUAGUC
rnacentral:rRNA from 1 species